rfam:Ricinus communis cultivar Hale ctg_1100012354156, whole genome shotgun sequence.
AUUCUAUAAUUGACAAUGGUAAAAGAUCCUUGAACAGCUCCUAACAGUCAUACAAGGUUUUAUUCUCUUGUUGAAGAAAACCUGCUAUAUCAUUCCUUAGCUU